GUCCAAACAUGCCACGUGGCGCGUGCCAUCCUGAGACACGCGUGUCCUUUGAACACGUGCAUGCACCUCCCCUGUGCGAAGGAAGGAGGAACAGCAGGGAAACGUAGUUGGCACAACUGUGUAGCACGCCAGCUUAUCCUAUGUGUUUGGACAAGAAACAUGCUUCCUUCUGCCAACGCUAAACACAGGGUUUAUUUGGACGUUGUUUGGGGUUGAAACAAAAAAAGAUACAUCCAGGAGCAGAACUGCUCCUCUCUUCCCGCUGGGUCUGUGCCCUGUAAACCUCGAAUCCACAUCAAGGGCAAAAGAGACAUUUUAAAUGACCCCUGUUGUCUGUAAUUAGCUGCUGGCACCCCAGGCCCUGUCAGAUGUCUUUGUUGUGCGGCCUCUUUGUUUUGUGUUGAACCCCAGUGUUACACAUGGGAGCAAUCACCUGGGUCGGUGUUUGCAGGAUGGAAACCUUGCUGGUACCUGCUGUCUUAGGUCUGCCGCAGAACCAGAGGUUUCAAGAUGGAACAAGUUCAAAGCAAAUCCCUUCUGAUGGCAUGUGCUUGCUUAGAGGUUGGCAGGUCCUGUGCAGUCCCGCCGAGAGACACCCCAAGACCUCCUAUCCUGCAAGGGAUAGCAGCCGUCAUGUUGGACACUGUCCCAGGAACCCGCCUUAGGGGGAAUUUAGCCUUUUCGUCUAUAGGAGGGAAAGGGGAAGAGAAUGGGUUGACUGGAUCGAUUGAGAUAAACCAGGCAGUCCAUGCAGACCCACCGUGGCUGGAUGGGACUGCUCCUGCGUAAAACGAUGAACACACACUGGUUCAUUUCUUCCAGAAACAUAUAAAAGUCCGUGGUUGAGCCCCCCGGGACCUUCCAUCCCUGACUUCAGAGUAGCCCUCAACAAAAGGCCUUGAAAAGCCAACUGAUCUCAUUACCUGGACUGUUAACUCCACUGGCCCUCAAGGUGUUGUCCACCUCCCACCUCAAUUGCUCCAGUCAAUCCACUCCUUACCUGUCCCCUUCCCCUGUCCCUUUCCCUUCUAUGUUGAGCCUUUUCUUUCUGCACAUCUUUUCACAGCAUCUGAUGAAGUAGGUUGUUGCCCAGAAAGGUCAUGUCUCUUGAGUCCACUUAGGCCCUGAGGUGCCCCAUCCUGCCUUCUUCAAGGAGAACCAAGCAAGAGGUGCAGAGUUCCUGGCAGGUGUCACACCAUUAUUUUCAGGGAGUAAUUAGGCUAUUGGGUCUGGGGCGAGAGCAGUACAGGGUGGCAAAUUCAGCCAAACAGAACGGAGACUAGACCAUGGCCAACCCAUGCAACGCAGGGUCUGAACUUGAUUGGAAACACCUACAUCCUCAUGGUUUAAAUAUCUUCACCUAAAGAGGCAUGGCCAGCGUGCUGUGUGGACGUGUGUGCGCGCUUGUCUGCUUUCAAGUGAUCAGCUCAGUCUGCAGAUGUUACCGGUGAAAGAUAUUGCUCCACUUUCAUCAUAUUUUACCCAGAGAAGUGGUGGAGUCUCCAUCCUUGGGGGUUUAAGGGCUGGCUGGGAUGAUUUAGGUGGGGCUGGUCCUGCUGGGUUGGACUCCUGAGGUCCCUUCCAACCCUCAUUUUCUAUGAUUUUGUGAUUCUAAACCCUGGCAAGCCUUGAUCAUGGAGAAUAGAGUGGGAAGGGGCCCUGAAAGGUCAUUUCAUCCAACCCCCUGCUAAGGAUAGAAACGAGCUACUGUCUCAGAUCCCAACCAGAGAUGCUGCAGCCACAGCUACCAGAGUACUAACAACGUGCAGUUACUAACCUCUCCGGCAUCACUUCUAGUCACCUGCAAAGCCCAUGAUUUAAUUCAUCCCCAGCGAGGCCUUGCAGACACUGUGUCUGUGCUGCGGGGUGCAAGGGACAGGAUGCAAUGUUCCCCCAAAUACAUCAAGUUCUCCAAAAGCUUUGCCUUCCCCUCACAGCUUGCCUAAUCCUAAGGAGGGCUGGGCUGCUGGUGGGACAGUGGCCAAGUGACAGCCAGGCUGCCGUGCCAGUGGCUGGGCUUUGUUUUGAGGCUUAGGACAUGCUAAACAUGUUGAUAACCUUAAACCGCCACGGGCUGGUUCUCAGCUUUCAUUAAAGUGUCUUUGGACUGAUGCCGAUGGGGCUGGGAACAUGCUCUGUUGUGCAUGAGCCACAUCUUGCAGUCAGAUGCCCACGGCCAGCUGCUAUGUAAGUGCAGGGAGAGGGGCAUCUUCUGAGACGUCUGGAAGGAAGAAGGAGCAUAUGUGAAACCACAUGCUUGAAAUCCUCCUCCUGAGCCAGGCCAGGUAGGAGACGGGGCAACAUGCUCUUCUUGCUGUCGGCUCUGCCGGGCGCGUGGAACUGGGUGACUCCCGUGGUCGGGUGAAGAGCCUGAGCCUUGAAUUUCUUGUACUGACGUCAGCGGGGGAGUUUGGAGGUUGGUUUUUCCCUCUGGAAAAGUGCUGGAGGCAGAGUGAAAAACGAGAGCGCCAGACCUAUCAUGCACCUGACCUUCCUCGUGAGCUGCGCCAAUGGCAGAAGGCAACUUUUGGACACACAUCCUCAGGAUGGUGAAACCUGCAGACGCCCUCCAAGCCCCCCACCUGCCCCACCACAGAUGGUGACCUACCUGGUCUUCUGCUGGGACCCGUCCUUGUCUGCCCUCCCAGGCAUUCGGAGCAGAGCAAGCGAGGAGGAGGCUGGAGCCUGUGCCCAAGAGCAAGUCUCGUCUUCCUCCCAGCAGUGUAGCCAGGCCUCUCUGGAGGCAUCUGAAUCCUUCAAGGGUCCAGUCCCACCACACCGGCCCUGUCUAAAGAGUUCUUCUAUGGUUAGCAAUGCACCGCGGAUGUCCAAGUCCAGGUCGCUGCAGGGCUCUGCUCGGUGCCUGGGGAAAAGGUUUCUGAAGGCCCUGUUUGCAUGCAUCAUUGGGCCAGCCCCUUGUUUUUGUCCAGGCAACGGGGAAAAGGGCAUGCAUUUCUAAUGGGAGACAUACAGUUCACCCUGGCCUUCGCCUCUAAGGUCUACUUUGAUUUUAGCUUCCCCUCUGCUUCCAGUUCUGGUUCUGCCCAAAACCUGCUCUAACCACUGCCCUAGGCUGCCUGUGCCUUCGUCUCUGAGCUGUCAUAGCACAGCUCAUGGUCAAAGCAAAGAAAGGAUCAGGCCCUUCCAUCACCAAGAGUAGCAGCUACUGGUUACGUGCCAUAGGAUGAAGUGGCAAGGGCCACGGGUCUCUGGGCUUCAUGGACUGAUCACCCAGCUGGUGACAGGAGCAUCCCCUCACUGCACGGGUUAGACAGGGCAUCGCUGCAUUUCAGGAUGGCAGCUCUUAUGUUACCAGCAAAUGCAGGAAGAUCGUUUCCCAGACCGGCCCGCAAAACAGUUUGUAUCUUGAUGUCUUGCACCCUGAAAGAUCCCCCAGCCUCUUAUAAGAUUGACAGCAAUCAACACCCCCUGCAAGGAACCCACUGGAUCCCACACAUGCCCUUCCCUGCCUGAGAUGUAUCUGGUCCAAUGCACCCAAUGCCCUCGCGGGAACUGCGUGGGUGCAACUAGACAGAAAUGAUGCACAGGAAUGAACUCCUACUCCCUCCAGUUUCUCAGCUCUACGCACUGUUUUUAACCAUCGCUGUUCCUGCUUCUUCGCUCUGACCCAAUGAAGAAUGCCUUGCCUGCAAAAGUUGGUCUAACUUUAUCCCACCUGGGCAGUUGGCCCAAUAAAAGAGACCACCCACAAAAAUCCCUUGCUUUUUGCAAAUGAUCCUAAAGUGCCCUGCCAAGAAAAUGCGUCCAGCUCUGGCGUGAAGCAUACAUAACUGCGCGUUGCAGCACUGUAGCAGCUAUUUUCUUGCCAAAGGGCUGGUGGAUGUAAUGAGAGGCUGGAUUAUGCUUGCCCUAAGGUUGGUUUCCCUCUUGGAAGACUUGGCCCCAUCAGGUGAAGAUGCUCUGGAGAUGUCACUGCUCCCAUCACAGCCGAGAUCAGAGGCAUCUGCUGGUGUGGGAACUGCUUGUAGUUUGCUUUUAUCUCGGGAUGGGAUGGGUGGCUGAGAGCUGGGCCUGACAGGGCCUUGGAGCUGGCUCUCCCGUGAAGUCAGCUGCCCGAGCGUGGCACAGGAAGGAGGGGCAGGUGGCACCUGGUGCAAUGCUGGCGAGCGGGGAAUGGGGAAGGACUAGAGGCGACUCACAGAAAUAAGGUUUAAAUGAAGAUCAUGGUCACGUGCAUGUCCCUGGUGGGGAAAAGUCCCCAGUAGGCCUGCUGGGAGGUUAACCUCUGCCUCAGUUUACCAGAUAGCAGCACUGAUCUCCUCCUUCUCUGGUGCUAUGAAACCCGGCGAUGCCGAGGGCUCUGUAGAUCCUCUCAGUAAAAAACCUGCCAGAUGCUCUGCUUGUUUCCCCGAGGGGUCUCCAUGUGCUGCGGGCCCGCUGCCACUAGAUGGUACUGCUUUACCAAGCAUUGGAGGGCCACUGCUGCUUGGGUGAUGUAUUUGCUUUCCCAGCUGGUGCCCAGUUGGCAAAAGGACAGCUUUUUUUAAGGAAAAUUUUUCAUGUCCCAGGUCAAAUUAGCCUGAUCAGGUCCAAAUCUAUUUGAAUCAUUCAGGAACCCUGUGUGGCCCUGCUACCAGCAAGCAUCCUUCACCCCAGCCUGGGGCGUCACAUGCUUCCAAAUCCUUUGGCAGGCAUCAAAAGGCAGCUGCGAAGGGGUUGAGGGUUGGCUGCAGCCGGUGCCGUGCCCCAAAAACCCAGCUGGAGGCUGCAGCCAUGGGUGCUUAGGGCACCCAUGGGAGUCAAGUGCUAAGUAUACACCGGGAAGGUGACCAGGGCAUGCCCAGCAUGCAGGUACCACGAUGCAGAGGGGACUGCAGCCUCCCUCCCCUAUAGCGUGAUGGGAACCAGCCCCAUAAGGCAGGGCGUAGGGCCGUGAGUUGUGUCCUAGAGCAUCACCGCUACCGGACAGAGACCGCCUGCGCGUGCAGCCCCGGUACAGCUGGGCAGGACCCUCUAGCAGACAUGUGGCAGAGCAUCAUCCCUUGGCAUCGUGUGCCCGGGUGUGAGCCAACCGGUGACAUAUGCAUUUAAUUCAACAACGAUCCCAAACUAGCAAGGGUCCCUCCCAGCUCCUGUGUGCGUCACUGCCCAGCUACCUCCUUCCCUGUCCCCUCCUGAGACCUGCCUCCUUUUUCCAUCACAGGAGAGGACACAAUGACCUCUGAGCUCAGCAGAGAGCUUUGCAAACAACCCUUCAGGCCUCCCAAGCUUGUGGUAACUAUAAACAGCUUCCAGCCAGGACAAAAUACAGGCCCCUUGCACUGUUUAUACACACAGCUCCUUAUUAAUCCCAGCCAUUCCUCACCCCCUGGAGUCAAUCCAGGGCCUGAUGCAAGAGCCUCCGCCUUUCCCCUUGUCAGACAGGGUCACCCGGGACCGCGUCGUGUUGCAGGGGAGGUCACGGGGGCUCUGUGCAUGGCUGGAGAGGAGCAGGAGAUGCAGGGUUUACAUUGCACAGUCUCAUGCAAGGGAUGACCCUGGUACCAAGCUAAUAACCCUUAGCCUUGGCCGUGCCUGGCUCUGGCACAUUGGCUCUUCCUACUCAACACCCCAAUGUCAUGUCCAUGGCUGUCUGGCUGUCACCGUCAUCCCAAGAGGACAUGAUGUGGCCAGGAAGGCCGUGAUGAGGGGUCAGAGGGAUUUCCCUUCAUCUUGAGGGUUUGAGACUGGGGAAUUCGUGCAGCUCCAGGGCCUGACGUGCUCUCCUUAGCCCCAGGCCAAACUUCACCAGGUGCUAUAUUACUUGAGCACAUGGUGGCAUCUAGAUAUGAUCUCAUGAGGUCCGUUCCAGCCCUAACAUCUAUGAUAUCUAUGGAGGGCCAAGGCAGGAUGCAUGGCCAACGGGCCUGCUGAUUGCUGGGGAUGGAUCUUGGGAUCAUAGGGCUUAUAGUGGGGGGAACAGAGCCUGGCUGGCUGGAGAGCAUCUCCUGGGAUGUGUGCUGGCAGCCGAUGUGAAGACCACGGUUACUCGGACUGUGCCAGGCGAGCUCGUAAUAAAGCCCCCGUCUCUUUGUGUGUGCAUCCCCUGUGCCCUUGAGUGACCUUUCCGGGGUCACACUUGCCCUGGCCUUGCUCACCUGCCGACCAGGUGGUGACACAAGUCAGGUGGCGGUUGCUGGGAUAACCCCUUGUUCCUCCCGUCAGGCUGGUGGGCAGUUUGCAGGGCACGCAGCCCCGAGCGGCGAGCAGGCGGCUCCCCGCGGCGUUGUGCUAGCAUCCAGGAGGGCACAGCCAGAGAACAAAAUGCUCUUGUCUCUCUGCAGUCGAGCCGACAAGGCCGGGCUGAUUUAUGGAGGAGGGAGGGGGAAUGGAUGCUGCCGGCUCGGCUCCCCGUGACGGACUUUCGAGGGGACGUGCGCGGAGAGGAAGGCCCCAGACUUCACCUUGGCUAGACGCACAGGUUACUUGCAACCUCCCUCCUGUUUUACGCUGGCAUGACUUCACAGACCUCAGUAACACCGUUCCUGAUUUACCGCCGUGGACGCCGAACCAGAAGCUGGCCCCGUGUCUGGGUGGACAGCGCUGCGCCUUGGGGAUUACAGCAGCGGGCACCAACCAUUUUGGGCAGGCGGGCCAAAAAUUAGCCCCGCAUCCUUCCCGAGUGCCAGUCUCAUCCCCUUCCCCUGCCUGAGCUGCUGCUCUGCUUUCUGCUCCCUGUCCAAUGCUGUGUGACUUGAUCACAAACCUUGCCCAGCUCCUGUCUCCCUUGGAGGAGGAUUUGCAGCACAAAAUCAGCUUCCUAGGUAGGCAGGGAUGGGUCACUGGUCUUCUUAAAGAGGCCACAGGCUGCCUGGGCUACUGAGAGGGACCUUGCCUCUUUGCAGGUCCCUCAACCAGGGGCCACAAUGCACUGGGGGCCACGAGAUCCUUUUCCGUGGGGCUGCACAGGAUCGGCACCGUGCGGCGUGCAAACACCUACACGGGAUUUGCAAGGCGGACCUGGGGAUUUCAGCUAGGAAUCGGUAGCAUCGCCCUGCUAGGGUCUCUCUCUCUGAGCUCUUUGCACUGGAAGAAUCACUCCAGUAUUUUUCCAUAGUCGAGAAACGAGGGAAAGCCGAGAGCCGGCAUUUUCCGAGGGGGGUCCCACGUCUCACAAGGUUGAGCAGCCCUGCUCUUAGCCGUCAGGGGUUUCUCUCCAGGCCAGAGCUGGGCAGGAUACAGGAUGCAGCCAGAGACGGGGACCGAGGAGCACAGCCAAACUCGUUGCACUUGUGACCGAAACCCGGUUCGGUCCGAGAGAGGACUCUGUUCCUCCAGCCCGGGGCUGGUUCAUUCCCCGUCCCUCACUGCCUCCCAGCAAAGUCCUGCUCACUGUGAAGCCUCUGUGGCAGUGAGCCGGGCCCCGUGGUCCCCUGGGGCCAGUCUCGCGUCUGCCCACGUGGCCAGCCAUGCCCUUGGGGCAUCUCUGUUUCCUAGUCCCUGCGGCUGGGCUGGGCGUCGCGCCUCGCUUUCCCCUCUCGUCCGUCCCAUCUGGGAGCCCAGGGCCCCGUCUCUCCCGACAGAGCCCUCCUGGGAGCCGGCCCAGCCCCAGGCAUGAUAAAUAAGGCUGACAGCUUUCUCGUGGCCUCCUUUCCCCUACAUGGCCUGACCCACAAAGCGCUCCUGGGAGGCUUGGCGCCUGCAGAGGCCGGCGAAUUGUUUAUCUUCUUUCUCACCCACGGCAAGCUCGCUUGGAGCUCAGCUCUCGCUCGGGGAGGGCCGGCUCCGUGGCCGGUGGUGCUUCGUGCUCUCUGCAUCCUCACCGUGCCUCAGUUUUGCUGCUGCUUCCAGCACUCCCAGCUCUGCCCUGGAGUUGGUGGUGUGCUGGGUCCUGCAGGGAAUGGGCACCGAUCCUGAAAUCAGAGGGCACAUCCAUAGGAGCCCACUGAGAGCUGUCAGGGCGAAGGAUUAGUGGCAGAGAGCUGGGCAGGUGGAAGAGGGUGGGUUUGGCAGUGUUUUUGCAUCAAGCGGAGACCCCCGGCAGCCAGGCCCCUUUGACCGAGAAGAAAGGCAGUGCCUGGCCAAGCUUCCCUGUUUCAUCCUGGAGCAUCGUGCAGGGAAAUGUCCGGCACACACAACGGGGUGGAGGGGGGUGCAGGACACCAGGGAGCGGAGUCAGCAGGUAUCACGUGCCGAGCGGGGCAGAGGAAGGAUCUGCACGUGGAAGCAGCCUCCGUGCAUGGCAUCUCUGCCCAGAGAGCACGCGGCAGGCAGCUUGCGGCCGUAGCAGGGGUUGGUUUUCCUCCCUCCCUGCCCACCCCACAGCAGAGCCGGGGUCUCUCUGGGGUGUCAGGGUGGGUGGGCUUUGACCUUCCUGUCUCCCAGGGGCCCGUGUCCCAGCGACUGGAACAGCUGAGGUGCAGGGCUCACAAAUAGACCGACGGGGAAGAAGUGAGUCACCCGGGCUGGAAAUAAACCUAUGGACACAAGGCCACAAGGGCAAUGAGGUGGCAAUUCUCUGCCCGGCUGGUGCAGCCUGCAGCUGGGAGGACAGCCUUGUGGAGACGUCCACCUUGGAGCAUCCCAGAAGGCACCCGUUAGCACCAUUUCUGCAAGGCACGGUGCCGGCUAGCUGAGGCUCCUCCAACUCAUUGCAUGUCAGCUAGCGAGUAGCAGAGCCUGGGCUGUGGGUGAUGCGGCCUCCCACCAUGCUGAGCUGCCAGCCUUGCAGGUGCUUCCCUGACUGCCUACAAACACCAACAGACUCUCCCUCGGCCUGAAGAAGGGUGUUUGUGCCCUAAAGCUAGCAAAGAACAAUUUUUCUAACUAUUUAGUUGGUCUAAUAAAGAUAUCACAUCUAUGCAAAGACUGUUGUCUGUCUGUGACAGCUGGGUGCAGGACCCACCGGGCAGCGGUGGGGAGGAGAAGCCCUCCUGGGCUCGCUGCACGCCGACAGCUCAGGCCCGCGGAGAAGAAGCGGUAGCAGCAGCGCAGGCACAAAGCGAGAGGAGGCAGCCGCCGGGGUGAUCAAUAAUUUAUAACAAACCAGAUACGAGCUAUGUACAAAGAGAACCGCAGCGGGAGACGCAGCCCCUGCCUUCUCCCGUCCCUGCAGCUGCUGGAGCCUUAUGUGCUCAGCCCGGGGCCCUCCUUCAACUUGUGCAUGGGUGAAAGAUUCACUUGCUUGCCCUCCUGCCUGCUGCUGCCUCUGGGUCUGCCCCUCCAGAUAGGGUCAGCCUCACCUUGCCUGCACCACGACGGGGGAUGACUUGGCUGCUAGGGCAGGUUCUGCCCCUGCUUUUACCCCGUCAGGUGGCAGGAGCAUGGGCCUCUCUAUGUAGGACUGCAUGGAGGGGAAUGAUCCUUUCCCAGCGCUUGCUCUAUGGGUUACGGACAGACUCAGAAGAACGCAAGAAAAGAGCAUCAGGACGGCUGUGGACUGGGUCAGACCUUGCCUGGUCUCAGCGUCAGAGAGCGGAGGCUGAGAGGGAGAGUGAGCUGGAUCAGAGCAGGGUUUUUCCCCUGUCCUCUCUCCCUUGCAGCCUCCAGCAUUUCAGUUCUGAUGCAGAGGCCGUGCCCCUCUCUCCCCUGCUCAUUAGAGACCGAUGCCCCUUUCUUUCAAGACUGUGCCCAUUCCCUUUGUGGAUCUGGCUAAGCUGCCAGCUUCCACAGCUGCUUAUGUUUUGAUGGAGCUCGGUUCCCAAGGGGGUUGGAGGCAGGGCCGGGUCUACGCUAUGUUCAUACUGGGCUAGAUUUACCCCGAGGCUCAGCCAGACGAGUGUGGCGCUCAGUGCUUUUUGGACACAGGGCAUUGCUGCACCCCUGCCCCUGUUGUGAUCUCAGCGCCAACCCACCUGGACUGGGCUCCCUC